UUUGUUACUUCAAUGCCAAACUUAAUCAUUUCCCGACCCAACAAGCUUACUACUAACGGACAAUCUUCGCCUACCAUAUCUCUUUCUCUUACCCACUCUAUUGAUCCGGACUGGAUGGACUACUUCACUUCUCCUUUCCUUGAAGACUGACUCCUAUUCUGUAUAUUCCUACUUGGAGGGUGGGCAAGCAACUCAAACUUUGACACCACAACUUCUUUUGUUGUUGCAAGAGAAGAAUAGGGUACUUUCUAUCGAGCUGGCCAUAAUACAUAAUUGCUAGCGCAUUCUAAGAAAUAGUAUAAAUAGAAGGAAGGAUAGAUCUAGCGCAUCAGGUAUCAGAAUUAGGCUCCAGGUACGAUCUAGCCAAUUAAGUAAGAAAUCCAGAAUACUGUUUAUAGGAGAGGCGAGGUCGGGU
rnacentral:lncRNA from 1 species